rnacentral:rRNA from 1 species
AUACGUAGGUGACAAGCGUUAUCCGGAUUUACUGGGCGUAAAGGGCGUGUAGGCGGUCUUGCAAGUCAGAAGUGAAAUUCCUGAGCUCAACUCGGGCGCUGCUUCUGAAACUGCAGGACUUGAGUGCUGGAGGGGAUAGCGGAAUUCCUAGUGGAGCGGUAAAAUGCGCAGAUAUUAGGAAGAACACCGGUGGCGAAGGCGGCUAUCUGGAUAGUAACGGACGCUGAGGCGCGAAAGCGUGGGGAGCAAACAGGAUUAGAUACCCUGGUAGUCCACGCCGUAAACGAGGAAUACUAGGUGUAGGGUGUAUCGACUCCCUCUGUGCCGCAGUUAACACAAUAAGUAUUCCGCCUGGGGAGUACGGCCGCAAGGUUGAAACUCAAAUGAAUUGACGGGG